GGGGGGGGCAAGCGUUGUUCGGAAUUACUGGGCGUAAAGGGCUCGUAGGCGGCCAACUAAGUCAGACGUGAAAUCCCUCGGCUUAACCGGGGAACUGCGUCUGAUACUGGAUGGCUUGAGUUUGGGAGAGGGAUGCGGAAUUCCAGGUGUAGCGGUGAAAUGCGUAGAUAUCUGGAGGAACACCGGUGGCGAAGGCGGCAUCCUGGACCAACACUGACGCUGAGGAGCGAAAGCCAGGGGAGCAAACGGGAUUAGAUACCCCGGUAGUCCUGGCCCUAAACGAUGAAUGCUUGGUGUGGCGGGUAUCGAUCCCUGCCGUGCCGAAGCUAACGCAUUAAGCAUUCCGCCUGGGGAGUACGGUCGCAAGGCUG
rnacentral:rRNA from 1 species